rnacentral:misc_RNA from 1 species
ACAAAGUUCAUUUUUCUGGUGACGGGGAAUCAACAAACUGAUAAAUUUACCAAGAAUCUGAUUCCUUUCAUCUCAUCUGUUACUUUCUUACCAUAAACACCAAUAAUUUGUUUUGGUUUGCUUAGGUGAGUCCUGGUUGGUAGAACUGCCAAAUUUCCUUCAUUUGUGUGUCAAAAUUAUUAAACUUUGAACCCCCACAUAUUAGAUGUCAAGCUGAGAUAAGGAAUCAGAANNNNNNNNNNACAUGUGUGUGUUUUUUAGCCUUUUCUUUUUCUUAGAAGCAUAAAGUAGAUCCAAAUCCUG